rnacentral:lncRNA from 1 species
UUUUAUUUAAAUUCAGAUGCAUUUAAUUUAAAAACAAAAAGUUUAAUCGGGAUUAACGCACACACAGAUUACAGAUGAACUGUUACCGAAUUAAAAUAAAGAAAACAGAGUUUGGUUUCCAUAUUUGAAUUUAGCUCGUAUUUCCGGCUUGCCAUCCUUAUACAAUUAUACUCCUACUGCUUCCAGCUUGUGCGGUUUCCAAUACAAUUUUUCUUCAAGAUUCUUUCAUGCCUUGUCGCUCUGCUUUCAUUGAUCACCAUCGACAUGACGGACUUGACUACUGAUAUUUUGAUCCAGAACAUGACGAUGCGAUUCCUCUUCUUUCACUUUGUAUAUUCUGAAUUCGGAGUACCCUCCGUAGUCGUCUCCGUCAGAAAUUGUUUUGAGAAAUUGUGUAUUGCAUCAAUAUGGUCUCCAAUUCUUAUAGCACCGGUUACUGCUCUUCGUCUCCCCAAUAUUUUCCGGGAUUCCCCUACCGUCAGGUCUGCAAAUUGAAACCAUAAUUCCUUUGUGUAGCGUUAGGGUUAGUUCGGCAUUGUAAUCCACCAAGAUCUUAGUUUAUUAAAUAUAUAAAUUAUGUUCCACCUUAGACGCUAAAGCAACAUGAACAUUUU